CCUACGGGUGGCAGCAGUGGGGAAUAUUGGACAAUGGGCGAAAGCCUGAUCCAGCCAUGCCGCGUGUGUGAAGAAGGCCUUCGGGUUGUAAAGCACUUUCAGUGGGGAAGAAAGCCUUGGGGCUAAUACCCUCGAGGAAGGACAUCACCCACAGAAGAAGCACCGGCUAACUCCGUGCCAGCAGCCGCGGUAAUACGGAGGGUGCGAGCGUUAAUCGGAAUUACUGGGCGUAAAGCGCGCGUAGGCGGUCUGAUAAGCCGGUUGUGAAAGCCCCGGGCUCAACCUGGGAACGGCAUCCGGAACUGUCAGGCUAGAGUGCAGGAGAGGAAGGUAGAAUUCCCGGUGUAGCGGUGAAAUGCGUAGAGAUCGGGAGGAAUACCAGUGGCGAAGGCGGCCUUCUGGACUGACACUGACGCUGAGGUGCGAAAGCGUGGGUAACAAACAGGAUUAGAUACCCCAGUAGUC
rnacentral:rRNA from 1 species